UCGGCCGUGGAACCGCUCCUCCCCAGCUCCGCUCAGCGCCCGGCGGGAGAAGAGAGGGCAGAGAGGCGGCCCUAAACAGCGGAGGCACCGAUUCUGCAAGGCGUUAGGAAUGCCCUCGGCCGAAGGAACGGCGGCGGAGCGCCAUGGGGUGCAGGAGCUGCUGCCUGCCCCGCUGUGCCGCUCUGUGACCGCCUGCCUUACAGGUCUGACGGCGGGGGAGCGCUGCUGUUUUACCAACCCCAGCAGAGGGAGAAAUGUCUAGAAAGAAAGAAGGAAAUGGUUUAAAGGGCCUCCGAGCACCUCAGCAGCACUGCCCGGCCCCAGCGCACAGCUCUGCAGGGAUGGGUAAGGCCGUAGGGUUACAGUGCGUGGGUUUUACCUACCGUAAAGGUAGCAGACCAUGUAAACCACGUAAGAGUGGAGCCGGGAGGCAUCGGUCCAAAGGAGACCGACCUGAAACAGUUAACAGCAGUGGUUUUACGCAACAGGUAACAUUCCUGAAACUUGUUGCCACAGGAGCAGAGAGCGGCGAAUGGGCUCUGCAGGGCUGAGGCUGGCUGUGAGCCGUGCCGUGCCCGCAGCCUGGAGCCGAAGGGGACACGGCGCCGUACGGGUGCCGGGGCAGUAAGAACGGAGCAGACCAUGGAAGCGGCCGCUGCCCCACAGCCGUGCCCCGCGCACUGCCGGAGCCAGGAGAGCCCCGGGCCUCAGCCCCCAACCACAGCGCAGCUAUAGGACCCUCAGAGCUGCAAUAUCAUCUCUGCUUCCGAACCCGUUUUCCCUUCAGCUCCCGGAGGACUGGAGCAUGCCUUGUUUUUGCCACCACAUAAAGGGGUGAUGUUUGCAGGCUGCUGAGCUGGGAUAAUUCGCUGCCCCUCCUCCAGAGCACAGCCACAGAACCAGAGCUGCGUGUCAGAACCAACAUGAGCCCAAACGCCGUCUGAUCUGCAAACAGAGCCCUUUGUGAUCACACACAGGCAAAAGUCAAUCCUCAUCCUUACAAAGGAAACCAUAUUUUCAAGCAAAAUCCACGAGAUUUGAAAUUCUUUAGUUACGACCCCGUGAAAAACAGUGUCCAAAGGCACCAUUUUUCCUUGCAAAGGAAGCUGCAACACAUUGCGUUAAUGAUAUGAGCAUUUAAUCUGGAAAAAGCCAUCUAUCUGAUGGCUAUUUUUACAGGCCCACACAGAUAAACUUCAGGCGAUGUCCUACAUGCUAAACAUGACUCUUACUGGCAGCAGCAGGUUUGUGUCAGUCAUGCCUACGCUGGGAGCUUCCCUCCAUGGUAAUCCUCGUGGGAAGGAGCGGAGGGGAAAACCUCACACAGCAACCAGGCUGCGCACAACUCUCUACAGACUGAAAACCUGAUUUUCCUGCCCUCAGCUUACCACAGGGAACCAAGGAAAGAAAGACAAAAUCUGUUCAAGCAUCUCC
ensembl:lncRNA